GAUGAACGCUGGCGGCGUGCCUAAUACAUGCAAGUCGAGCGAACGGACGAGAAGCUUGCUUCUCUGAUGUUAGCGGCGGACGGGUGAGUAACACGUGGAUAACCUACCUAUAAGACUGGGAUAACUUCGGGAAACCGGAGCUAAUACCGGAUAAUAUUUUGAACCGCAUGGUUCAAAAGUGAAAGACGGUCUUGCUGUCACUUAUAGAUGGAUCCGCGCUGCAUUAGCUAGUUGGUAAGGUAACGGCUUACCAAGGCAACGAUGCAUAGCCGACCUGAUAGGGUGAUCGGCCACACUGGAACUGAGACACGGUCCAGACUCCUACGGGAGGCAGCAGUAGGGAAUCUUCCGCAAUGGGCGAAAGCCUGACGGAGCAACGCCGCGUGAGUGAUGAAGGUCUUCGGAUCGUAAAACUCUGUUAUUAGGGAAGAACAUAUGUGUAAGUAACUGUGCACAUCUUGACGGUACCUAAUCAGAAAGCCACGGCUAACCACGUG
rnacentral:rRNA from 1 species